rnacentral:rRNA from 1 species
CCUAAGGUAGCGAAAUUCCUUGUCGGGUAAGUUCCGACCUGCACGAAUGGCGUAAUGAUGGCCAGGCUGUCUCCACCCGAGACUCAGUGAAAUUGAACUCGCUGUGAAGAUGCAGUGUACCCGCGGCAAGACGGAAAGACCCCGUGAACCUUUACUAUAGCUUGACACUGAACAUUGAGCCUUGAUGUGUAGGAUAGGUGGGAGGCUUUGAAGUGUGGACGCCAGUCUGCAUGGAGCCGACCUUGAAAUACCACCCUUUAAUGUUUGAUGUUCUAACGUGGACCCGUUACCCGGGUUGCGGACAGUGUCUGGUGGGUAGUUUGACUGGGGCGGUCUCCUCCUAAAGAGUAACGGAGGAGCACGAAGGUUGGCUAAUCCUGGUCGGACAUCAGGAGGUUAGUGCAAUGGCAUAAGCCAGCUUGACUGCGAGCGUGACGGCGCGAGCAGGUGCGAAAGCAGGUCAUAGUGAUCCGGUGGUUCUGAAUGGAAGGGCCAUCGCUCAACGGAUAAAAGGUACUCCGGGGAUAACAGGCUGAUACCGCCCAAGAGUUCAUAUCGACGGCGGUGUUUGGCACCUCGAUGUCGGCUCAUCACAUCCUGGGGCUGAAGUAGGUCCCAAGGGUAUGGCUGUUCGCCAUUUAAAGUGGUACGCGAGCUGGGUUUAGAACGUCGUGAGACAGUUCGGUCCCUAUCUGCCGUGGGCGCUGGAGAACUGAGGGGGGCUGCUCCUAGUACGAGAGGACCGGAGUGGACGCAUCACUGGUGUUCGGGUUGUCAUGCCAAUGGCACUGCCCGGUAGCUAAAUGCGGAAGAGAUAAGUGCUGAAAGCAUCUAAGCACGAAACUUGCCCCGAGAUGAGUUCUCCCUGAGACUUAGAGUCUCCUGAAGGAACGUUGAAGACGACGACGUUGAUAGGCCGGGUGUGUAAGCGCAGCGAUGCGUUGAGCUAACCGGUACUAAUGAAC